rnacentral:lncRNA from 1 species
UGGUCGUUUGUUUGGUUGAGGGGGGCUGUUUGGUCGUUGCUUGGCGGUGAAGGUGACGAGAUGGAUAUGGUGAGGGAGAUGGUAGUGAGUUGUUUGUGGAGCAGCUAUUGAACGUGAAAUGGCUGGAGCUUCGACGAAGCAGAAAGAGCAGCCAUUGGAGAUAAUCGUUUGGAUGACAGAUUGUGAGGGACGAUGGAGGGGUCGUUUGGACACGGGUCGACGGGAAAAGGGCUGCUCGUGGUUGUUCAUACGAGGGAGAUGGUGGAGAUGAGGAAGAAGACGGGAAGGGCAGCCAUGGAGGGGUUUGGAGUUUGGUGGUUAGGGUUUGGGGGUGUGGAGAAGAUGAAGAGAAGGGGGUGGGGUGUAAGGUGUGACGGCUAGAGAGUUUAGAGUGUGUU